rnacentral:rRNA from 1 species
GAGUAGUAGUAGCUAAGAUCUUGAAACUCAAAAAAUUUGGCGGUAUUUUAUCUUAUUAGAGGAACCUGUUUAUUAAUUGAUAUUCCACAACUUUAAUUUACUUUUACUAAAUUACUUGUAUAUCGUUGUCAUGAAUCUAUUAAAAAGUGAUUUUCAAGAUUUUUUAUAAAAUUUAUGUUAGAUCAAGGUGCAGUCUGUAAAAGAAAAAAAUGGGUUACAUUAGUUACUAUGAAUGAAUAUUAUUAUUGGAAAAUAUUGGAAAAGGGAUUUAAAAGUAAAAUAAAAU